rnacentral:lncRNA from 1 species
AUGUAAAUAUAAAAUAAUAAUAAAGGUAAACUUUAAAUACCGCAUCAAUGAUUUCAUGUUUUUUCACUUUAGCACUCUAUGAUUUUUUUCUUUUUUUUUUUCAGUCAAGUACCUCCAUUACUUUUUAUUAAAUUAUAUACAAAACACUUCAAAUGCUUUACUCAUAAUUUAUCGAAUAUUUAUUUUAGUAUUUUAUAAUUUAUCGAAUUUUUACUUUAAUAUUCUGUGAUUUGACUUGGUCAUUAAUUUAAUGAAAAAGUUAAAAUAAAAUUAUAGAAUUGGCAUUUG